UGUUAUAAAGAACCAGCAGUUAAUAGAAAGUUGACAAAGUCUGAUCCAACUGUUGACAGAAGAUUUUAUAUUUCGCCUCACCGAAAGGGUAAGAGAAAGAGAACACGAGUAAAGGUGGCUCCAAUUGCUUUGGAAGAUAUAAUCAGCAUAGUAGAGCAAAGUUUUCAUGCUAGCUUGCUAUUAUAA
rnacentral:lncRNA from 1 species